ACAACACGGGUCGAAGUACAAAGCCUCAGACGAACUGUAGACUCUCCACUUCGAUGCAGCCAAGGACGUUGGUUCUCCAUCUCAUCUCCACCCAAAAUCCAGGUCUUCUCCUCUCCAAAUACUAGAAACUCAUCUCCGGAGUGAUUCCACCGGCGACGCUCGAUAUCAGUCCUCGCCGAACCUUGUCAUCUCCUUAGUCCUCCUCACUGCUGCCGUUUGGGUUCCACGAUGACGCGGUCAACGGAGCUCAUCAUCGGUGAAGACCCCGAUGAAGGUCCCCAAGUCGCCGUAAAAGGUGACUCCUGCUGUGAAGAGCCUUCAGCAAAAGUCCAAUUCAUUGUUCUCUUAUGAGUUAUGAGCUUCAAGAGAUUGUCCAUGUUAAGGCAGAGAUCAGUAGUUAUCACGGACGUCCUCUUUGGGAUUUUUCAGAUUUCAUAUUUCAGAUUUUGAGGGUUAUGGAUUUUGUGGUGUGUGUGAUUUUUCAGGUUUUGGAUUUGCAAGAUGAUUUCAGUUAAUGUCUGAGGAUAGUUGUUCAUCAUCUCAUUUCGUAGAAUAAUGUCUCAAACAGAUUAGUUAACUACCAGAAAACAUGCUCUCUAAGGUAAACAUUUGAAGGACAAGAAAAAUGGCCACUACCUUCAUCAUAGACAUGGUCACAAUCAUUACUCAGUAGAGGAGAAAGAUCACCAUCAUCGGGAUUCAGUUAAGCACAUCAAAGACCACAGUAGAAAUGGAACUGAUAACAUUAAUGAUGGUCCUGAUGAUCAGAAUGUGUAGAUGAUCUUAUAGGACGCAGAGUUCAUUCCCUGGUUUGGUCUUGUUUACAUUGAUUCUUAAUUGUUGGGAGGGAUGUCCUCUUUCCUCCAUUUGUACCUUAAACUUCUAUUGAAUUAAGAGGCCUGGCCUUUUUUAACAUUCCCAAUUAUGAAUUGAUAUCUGAAAAUUCUGCUAUGUGAGGUUGUUUUGUGAUCAGUUUAGAGAAAAGAAAAAGUACAAAAAGAAAGGAGGUUCUCAGCA